CGGGAGGCAGCAGCAGGGAAUAUUGUGCAAUGAACGAAAGUUUGACACAGCGACACCGCGUGUGGGAUGACGGAUCUAGGUUUGUAAACCACUUUCAGGAGGGAAGAAAAUGACGGUACCUCCAUAAGAAGCCCCGGCCAACUACGUGCCAGCAGCCGCGGUAAUACGUAGGGGGCGAGCGUUGUCCGGAUUUAUUGGGCGUAAAGAGCUCGUAGGCGGUUCAACAAGUCGGUCGUGAAAGUUCAGGGCUCAACCCUGAAAUGUCGAUCGAUACUGUUGUGACUAGGAUACGGUAGAGGUGAGUGGAAUUCCGAGUGUAGCGGUGAAAUGCGUAGAUAUUCGGAGGAACACCAAUUGCGAAGGCAGCUCACUGGGCCGCUAUCGACGCUGAGGAGCGAAAGCUAGGGGAGCAAACAGGAUUAGAUACCCUGGUAGUCCUAGCUGUAAACGAUGGAUACUAGACGUAGGAACUGGAUUGACGGUUUCUGUGUCGCAGCUAACGCGUUAAGUAUCCCGCCUGGGGAGUACGGCCGCAAGGCUAAAACUCAAAUGAAUUG
rnacentral:rRNA from 1 species